CAAUAGCGUAUAUUAAAGUUGUUGCGGUUAAAAAGCUCGUAGUUGGAUUUCUGCUGAGAACGACCGGUCCGCCCUCUGGGUGUGUAUCUGGCUCUUUCUUGGCAUCUUCUUGGUGAACGUUGCUGCACUUGACUGUGUGGAGCGCUACCCAGGACUUUUACUUUGAGGAAAUUAGAGUGUUUCAAGCAGGCAUACGCCUUGAAUACAUUAGCAUGGAAUAAUAAGAUAGGACCUCGGUUCUAUUUUGUUGGUUUCUAGAGCUGAGGUAAUGAUUAAUAGGGAUAGUUGGGGGCAUUCGUAUUUAACUGUCAGAGGUGAAAUUCUUGGAUUUCUGAAAGACGAACCACUGCGAAAGCAUUUACCAAGGAUGUUUUCAUUAA
rnacentral:rRNA from 1 species